GACGAACGCUGGCGGCGUGCCUAAUACAUGCAAGUUGAGCGCUGAAGGUUGGUACUUGUACCAACUGGAUGAGCAGCGAACGGGUGAGUAACGCGUGGGGAAUCUGCCUUUGAGCGGGGGACAACAUUUGGAAACGAAUGCUAAUACCGCAUAAAAACUUUAAACACAAGUUUUAAGUUUGAAAGAUGCAAUUGCAUCACUCAAAGAUGAUCCCGCGUUGUAUUAGCUAGUUGGUGAGGUAAAGGCUCACCAAGGCGAUGAUACAUAGCCGACCUGAGAGGGUGAGCGGCCACAUUGGGACUGAGACAAGGCACAAACGCCUGCGGGAGGCAGCAGUAGGGAAUCUUCGGCGAUGGACGAAAGUCUGACCGAGCAACGCGGCGUGAGUGAAGAAGGGUUUCGGAUCGUAAAACUCUGUUGGUAGAGAAGAACGUUGGUGAGAGUGGAAAGCUCAUCAAGUGACGGUAACUACCCAGAAAGGGACGGCUAACUACGUG
rnacentral:rRNA from 1 species